CUACGGGUUGCACCAGUAGGGAAUAUUGCACAAUGGAGGAAACUCUGAUGCAGCAACGCCGCGUGGAGGAUGACACUUUUCGGAGCGUAAACUCCUUUUAUAUAGGAAGAAGAUGACGGUACUAUAUGAAUAAGCGCCGGCUAACUCCGUGCCAGCAGCCGCGGUAAUACGGAGGGCGCAAGCGUUACUCGGAAUCACUGGGCGUAAAGAGCGUGUAGGCGGAUUAAAAAGUCAGAAGUGAAAUCCUAUAGCUUAACUAUAGAACUGCUUCUGAAACUCUUAAUCUAGAAUAUAGGAGAGGUAGAUGGAAUUUCUGGUGUAGGGGUAAAAUCCGUAGAGAUCAGAAGGAAUACCGAUUGCGAAGGCGAUCUACUAGAACAUUAUUGACGCUGAGACGCGAAAGCGUGGGGAGCAAACAGGAUUAGAUACCCCUGUAGUC
rnacentral:rRNA from 1 species